ACUUCCAAACCCAAAUUUCAUAUUUUUUCAUCUAAUUUCUCUCUCACUCUCAUGUCACCCCAAACCAGAAAUCGUCUCCCCAACCCAAACCUAGAAUUCGCCCCCCUACCCCCAGCCCCAGUCCAGACCGGCGACACCUUCCUCCGGCGAGACGUGCGGUAGCUGCCUUCGACUCCAGACCAGCGAGACGCGCUCCAGGCCUGCCGCAGCUGCUCUCCACUCCGGCGAGACCACGCCUCCAGGCCCACCGCAGCCCUCCAGUCCGGCGAGACCGCGCCUCCAGCCAGGCCUUCCGGUAGCGUCAUUUCAUUUAGUUUGUUUUCCAGUUACUAGUUGUAAAGUGUAAACACAAGGGUUAAAUUAGCAUUUUCCAAAGAAAAAUAAAAAUGCGUUCAUCAACAGUAGAAGGUAGGGUUUUGGAGCACGAGUGCAGAGUGCUAUUGGAAAGUGGAAAUGCCUUGAUUGGAUGCUGAGUGUAUUGCCUGUGAUUUGGUAUAGGGCUGACAUGGAUACUGGAUUAUCAGAGGAAGUCAAAACGCUUGAGGAAUUUGUUGAAGGGCGCUUGAAACCUAAUCUUGUGCGUGCUAUUGCUGAACGGGACAAGGUCUUUGAGCGGCAGAAGAUUUUCUCUGACCUUAGAAAAAACAUUGAAAACCUGGAGAAGAAUACCGUGACCUGUAUGAGGACGCUCGUCAACAUUGGCACUGAAAUCUAUACGGAAGCUGAAGCGCCAGAUACCCAGCAUAUAUUCGUUGAAGUAGGACAUGGAUUUUAUGUGGAGUUUACUUGGUCUGAAGCUCUGAGUUAUAUUGCUGAAAGGGAAAAACUAUUAUCCAGUUGGCUUUUCUGGUUUACUUGGAGAGGUGGGCACUUUCAUUGCCUUACCUGGUAGAUCAUAGUAUCAGCAUCAGUAUCUCCAAAGUCGAAUUUCCCUUUUUAGUUUAAGCUCCACCAAUAUCUUUUCUGGCCUCAGAAUCCUGGAUUCGUGUUGGCAAAUAGAGGAGUACACCAGCAAAAUUGGAGCUAUCAAAGUUCAAAUUAAAGUGGCAUUGGAAGCAGUAAGGAAAUUACUCAAGAUACCAGAUGCUGAGCUAUAACCUUUACAAUUCAACAUCAAAUUCUUCAGAGUUCAGAUAUUUUCGCAUACCAAGUUUUUGCAAUGAAAUGAAACAUGAUUUUGAUUGUGAGAGAAACUUAGAGAUAGGAAAGAGUACUUUUUGGAGCAGAAUGUAUUGUCUGUAAAAAUCUCCCCCCCCCCCCCCCCCCUCAAUUCUUGUUCUUAUUAUCAUGAAA